UGGGGAAUUUUGGACAAUGGGGGAAACCCUGAUCCAGCCAUCCCGCGUGUGCGAUGAAGGCCUUCGGGUUGUAAAGCACUUUUGGCAGGAAAGAAACGUCAUGGGUUAAUACCCCGUGAAACUGACGGUACCUGCAGAAUAAGCACCGGCUAACUACGUGCCAGCAGCCGCGGUAAUACGUAGGGUGCAAGCGUUAAUCGGAAGUACUGGGCGUAAAGCGUACGCAGGCGGUUCGGAAAGAAAGAUGUGAAAUCCCAGAGCUCAACUUUGGAACUGCAUUUUUAACUACCGGGCUAGAGUGUGUCAGAGGGAGGUGGAAGUCCGCGUGUAGCAGUGAAAUGCGUAGAUAAGCGGAGGAACACCGAUGGCGAAGGCAGCCUCCUGGGAUAACACUGACGCUCAUGCACGAAAGCGUGGGGAGCAAACAGG
rnacentral:rRNA from 1 species